AAGAAGGUGUUUUGCAGUUUCCUAACAUCAUGGAGUCCGAAAAGUGCUUUUGCUACAAGGGUCUCACUUUACUGUCACAACAGCUGUCUAAAGAAGAAAGGAAGAUUAGACCCAUGUAACAGAAGAAUACACUGAGACUUGACAACAUGAGGACCUUUAUAAGGUCAUUUAGCAGGUAAAUAAAGAGCAAGAAAGAUCCAACUCGACCUUUCUGACCCUGAAUCCGUGCUAUGCCCACACUCUAAAUAAAAGCAUGAACUUGUGAGUUUGUGGAUGAAAGCUUGGCAUUGCGUCCAAAAUGAGGCCAUGGGACAGACUGCUGCUGCCAUUUAACCCCAGGUCCUGAGAAAUUCCUCAACCCUUCCC
rnacentral:lncRNA from 1 species